UGGCUCAGGAUGAACGCUAGCGGGAGGCCUAAUACAUGCAAGUUGAGCGGUAAGGUUCUUCGGAACCCUAGAGCGGCGCACGGGUGAGUAACGCGUACAUGACCUACCUUUAAGACUGGGAUAGCCCUGGGAAACUGGGAUUAAUACCGGAUGUGAUAAUAUGUAUAGAGAUGUAUUAUUAAAGUUGAGGCGCUUAGAGAUGGGUGUGCGUCUGAUUAGCUAGUUGGUAGGGUAACGGCCUACCAAGGCGACGAUCAGUAGGGGGCGUGAGAGCGUGGCCCCCCACACGGGUACUGAGACACGGACCCGACUCCUACGGGAGGCAGCAGUAAGGAAUAUUGGUCAAUGGACGGAAGUCUGAACCAGCCAUCCCGCGUGCAGGAAGAAGGUCCUAUGGAUUGUAAACUGCUUUUAGCAGAGACGAAGACCUUUCAUUUAUGAGAGAGUGACGGUAUCUGCGGAAUAAGCACCGGCUAACUCCGUGCCAGCAGCCGCGGUAAUACGGAGGGUGCAAGCGUUAUCCGGAAUCACUGGGUUUAAAGGGUGCGUAGGCGGGGGAUUAAGUCAGUGGUGAAAGCCUGUAGCUUAACUACAGAAUUGCCAUUGAUACUGAUUUUCUUGAAUUGGGUUGAGGUUAGCGGAAUGUGACAUGUAACGGUGAAAUGUUUAGAUAUGUCAUGGAACACCGAUUGCGAAGGCAGCUAGCUGGGCCUUGAUUGACGCUGAGGCACGAAAGCGUGGGUAGCGAACAGGAUUAGAUACCCUGGUAGUCCACGCCCUAAACGAUGCUAACUCGAUG
rnacentral:rRNA from 1 species